rnacentral:rRNA from 1 species
GCCCCAAAAGCUAGCCCACCUUCAAAAAUCAACAACCCCUAUCAAUCACCCCUGACCAACGACAAUAACUUUUAACAAACCAUUUUUCCGCCCCAGUAUGGGAGACAGAAAAGGAUAUUCGGCGCCAUAGAAAAAGUACCGCAAGGGAAAGCUGAAAGAGAAGUGAAACAACCCAGUAAAGGAAAAAAAAGCAGAGAUUAGCACUCGUACCUUUUGCAUCAUGACUUAGCCAGCCCCCCUCAGGCAAAGCGCCCUUUAGUCUGAGCCCCCGAAACUAAGCGAGCUACUCCGAGGCAGCCUAUUGUAGGGCCAACCCGUCUCUGUGGCAAAAGAGUGGGAAGAACUCUGAGUAGAGGUGACAGACCUACCGAGCCUAGUAAUAGCUGGUUGCUUGAAAACCGAAUUUAAGUUCCACCUUCUAGCGUUUUUACCCCCAAAAAGCGAAAGCCCCAAGAGGACAAAAGACAGCCAGAAGAGCUAUUCAAGAGAGGGACAGCUCUCUUGAAAAAAGACACAACUUUUAACAGAAGGCUAAAGAUUAAAAGACAAAAGGCACAUACCCACGUGGGCCUAAAAGCAGCCACCUAGAAAGAAAGCGUUAAAGCUCAAGUAUAUAGCCCCACUAAUCCCAACAGUAACAUCCUAAGCCCCUCCCCCAAUCAAGCCGCCCCAUGCAAACAUGGGAAAGAUAAUGCUAACAUGAGUAAUAAGAGAGCCAAGCCUCUCUCAUCAGCACCCGUGUAAAUCAGAACGGACCCGCACUGAAAAUUAACGCCCCCACCCCAGAGGGAAGUGAACAAACCAUUAACACAACAGGAAAACCCCUCAAACUGACAGCGUUAACCCCACACCGGAGUGCCAUAUGAAAGACAUAAAGAAAAAGAAGGAACUCGGCAAACACUGGCCUCGCCUGUUUACCAAAAACACCGCCUCUUGCUACGAUAAUAUAAGAGGUCCCGCCUGCCCUGUGACAAAAGUUUAACGGCCGCGGUAUUUUGACCGUGCGAAGGUAGCGCAAUCACUUGUCUUUUAAAUAAAGACCUGUAUGAAUGGCAUAACGAGGGCUAAACUGUCUCCUUUCUCUAGUCAAUGAAGUUGAUCUGCCCGUGCAGAAGCGGGCAUAAGCACAUAAGACGAGAAGACCCUAUGGAGCUUCAGACACAGAUACAAACCACGUCAAAACGUCGGAAUAAAACCGAACAAAAACAAAAUGGCCUCUGUUUCAAUGUCUUUGGUUGGGGCGACCACGGAGUAACAAAAAACCCCCGAGCGGAAGGGGUCUAAACCCUAAAGCAAGAGCCACAGCUCUAACAACCAGAAAAUCUGACCAACAGAUCCGGCACCGCCGAUCAACGGACCGAGUUACCCUAGGGAUAACAGCGCAAUCCUCUCCUAGAGCCCAUAUCGACGAGGGGGUUUACGACCUCGAUGUUGGAUCAGGACUUCCUAAUGGUGCAGCCGCUAUUAAGGGUUCGUUUGUUCAACGAUUAAAGUCCUACGUGAUCUGAGUUCAGACCGGAGAAAUCCAGGUCAGUUUCUAUCUAUGAACACGCUCUUUCCUAGUACGAAAGGACCGGAGAGAGGAGGCCCAUGCUUAAAGUAAGCCCCGCCCUAACCUACUGAUGCCCACUAAAGUAGGCAAAAGGGACGUACCCCCCCCCCCCGCCUGAGAACAAGGCAA